rnacentral:rRNA from 1 species
AGUCACUGACAUUAGAUACCCCCGGUAGUCCAGGGUGUAAACGCUACAGACUUGGUGUUGGGGGCCCUUUGGGGGCAUUCAGUGCCGGAGAGAAGUUGUUAAGUCUGCUACUUGGGGAGUACGUCCGCAAGGAUGAAACUUAAAGGAAUUGGCGGGGGAGCACCGCAACGGGAGGAGACGUGCGGUUUAAUUGGAUUCAACACCGUAAAACUCACCAGGGAAGACUGUUACAUGAAGGCCGAGAUGAAGACUCUGCUAGAUUUUUCAG